rnacentral:rRNA from 1 species
GAGUAACGCGUGGGUAACCUGCCUUGUACUGGGGGACAACAAUUGGAAACGACUGCUAAUACCGCAUAAGCGCACAGCUUCGCAUGAAGCAGUGUGAAAAACUCCGGUGGUACAAGAUGGACCCGCGUCUGAUUAGCUGGUUGGUGAGGUAACGGCCCACCAAGGCGACGAUCAGUAGCCGGCCUGAGAGGGUGAACGGCCACAUUGGGACUGAGACACGGCCCAAACUCCUACGGGAGGCAGCAGUGGGGAAUAUUGCACAAUGGGGGAAACCCUGAUGCAGCAACGCCGCGUGAGUGAAGAAGUAUUUCGGUAUGUAAAGCUCUAUCAGCAGGAAAGAAAAUGACGGUACCUGACUAAGAAGCCCCGGCUAACUACGUGCCAGCAGCCGCGGUAAUACGUAGGGGGCAAGCGUUAUCCGGAUUUACUGGGUGUAAAGGGAGCGUAGACGGUUUUGCAAGUCUGAAGUGAAAGCCCGGGGCUUAACCCCGGGACUGCUUUGGAAACUGUAGGACUAGAGUGCAGGAGAGGUAAGUGGAAUUCCUAGUGUAGCGGUGAAAUGCGUAGAUAUUAGGAGGAACACCAGUGGCGAAGGCGGCUUACUGGACUGUAACUGACGUUGAGGCUCGAAAGCGUGGGGAGCAAACAGGAUUAGAUACCCUGGUAGUCCACGCCGUAAACGAUGAUUACUAGG